rnacentral:rRNA from 1 species
UACGUAGGGGGGCGAGCGUUGUCCGAAGUACUGGGCGUAAAGCGCGCGUAGGCGGGUUGGCAAGUCUGCUGUGAAAGCCCGGGGCUUAACUCCGGAGGGUCGGUGGAUACUGCCAGUCUUGAAGGUGCUAGGGAGAGAUGGAAUUACCAGUGUAGCGGUGAAAUGCGUAGAUAUCGGUAGGAACACCAGUGGCGAAGGCGGUCUCUUGGGGGCAUUCUUGACGCUGAGGCGCGAAAGCUGGGGGGGAGCGAACGGG